AACAACUGAGAAGUACACUCUGCAGCUCAAGGCAUCGCUUCCUAUGAAACACCCAGAACUGACAUGGAGCGUUUUAAAGAAAUCUUCUGUAACACAGAAGUCAAACUACAUGAAAUCACAGAUGGAAUGGAAUUGUUUCGGAAAACUGGGCAUAAAAACCGGCCUCCUUCUUUCUCAGCCUUUCCUCUUCAGCUAAUCAGCCAUGUACCUCAAAGUGACAGCUCCUUGCAGCGUGUGG